UACAGAGGGUGCGAGCGUUGUUCGGAAUUAUUGGGCGUAAAGGGCGCGUAGGCGGUGCGGUAAGUCACCUGUGAAAUCUCCUGGCUCAACUGGGAGCUUGCAGGCGAAACUGCCGUGCUGGAGUGUGGGAGAGGUGCGUGGAAUUCCCGGUGUAGCGGUGAAAUGCGUAGAUAUCGGAAGGAACACCUGUGGCGAAAGCGGCUCACUGGACCACAACUGACGCUGAGGCACGAAAGCUAGGGGAGCAAACAGG
rnacentral:rRNA from 1 species